UUCCAGACCACUUAUUUAAUCAUUGUUCUCCCGGUGAAGACCGUGUUCUCCCGUUCUCUCGUUCCAGACCGUGUUCUUCCGUUGUCCCGUUCCAGACCAUGUUCUUCCGUUUUCCCGUUCCAGACAGUAUUCUCCCGUUCUCCCGUUCCGGUCUGCCUUCGCCUUUCCGGUUUGCCUUCGCUGCUCCAGUCUCGCCUUCGCGUUUUCCAACCACGUCCGACUAAACCGUCUUCUCCCAUUAAAGGUAACUUUCAGACCUUCUUCCAUUUUUUUGGAUCUCCACUAUCGCCAUCGCAUUGAAGGUAACUUCCACACCUUCGUCCCCCUUUUUUUUAUGUCCACCAUCGACAUCACCCACUUCCAGAACUUCGUCCUCCUUUUUAGAUUUGGUUCCUAAUUUUUGUUCUGUUUUUUUAUUACCAAUACCAUGUGUAACCAUGUUUUUAUCGAAAUAUGUUUUUGUUCUUGUUCAUUAAUUGUUAGUCGUAUUGCUCCUGAAUACGUUUAUGUAUUUUCAAAAAUGAUUGAGGUGUUUUUAUAGUACUCAUUAUGGUUCUCUAAUGAUUUCCUUAUUUCCUGAAUAUUGUUACGGUUUUUUUCUUCUAAUGUUUAUAAUUGUUGUUCUGUUUUUUUAUUCUCAGAUAUUGUUUUUAUCCAAAUAUGGUUGUGUUCUUGUUCGUUUAAAUGGUAGUCGCAUUGUUCUUCAAUAAGUUCAUGUAGUUCUAAAAAUGCUUGAGUUGUUUUCCUACCCACUGAUUAUAGUUCUCUAAUGAUUUCCUGAUUAUUGUAUAAUAUGUUUCAGUCAUAUGGAUGCUCGAAGAGGUUCCCGCGGUAGCGGACGUGGUCAGAACAAUAAUGGUCGCCGUGGUCGGGGGCGGGGUCAUAAUGAGUUCAUUGUGUUGGUGUUAGGUUGUUAAUCUAAUUGUUGACAAGUUGUUGAAUUUAUUGUUCGUGUGGUGUUGAUUAUGUUUUUGUUGAGGUGUUGUCCUAAUUGUUCGUGAGUAGUUGGUUUAAUUGUUUG
rnacentral:lncRNA from 1 species